AAUUCUCAAAACCCUUUCUUUGGUCUCUUGAUCGGGGGAAGGAUUUUGGACUUGGAGGCCUUUUGCUGGUUUCAACUUGAAGCGAGCUCCUCCCAAAUGAAUUAGUGGGGUCUGCUUUGCCGAUCCUUGGCGUGAUAAGUCGUUUCUACGUCUUGGGUUUUGGCACUGUACCCCUGCUUCUAACCGUCUCAUCGACAAUGAUGGUGUUCCUGUCACCGCCGAUUCGUCGGUGGGAGGCUUGACCCACAAAAUGAAC
rnacentral:misc_RNA from 1 species